CCUACGGGGUGCUGCAGUGGGGAAUAUUGGACAAUGGGCGAAAGCCUGAUCCAGCCAUGCCGCGUGUGUGAAGAAGGCCUUCGGGUUGUAAAGCACUUUCAGUGGGGAAGAAAGCCUUGGGGCUAAUACCCUCGAGGAAGGACAUCACCCACAGAAGAAGCACCGGCUAACUCCGUGCCAGCAGCCGCGGUAAUACGGAGGGUGCGAGCGUUAAUCGGAAUUACUGGGCGUAAAGCGCGCGUAGGCGGUCUGAUAAGCCGGUUGUGAAAGCCCCGGGCUCAACCUGGGAACGGCAUCCGGAACUGUCAGGCUAGAGUGCAGGAGAGGAAGGUAGAAUUCCCGGUGUAGCGGUGAAAUGCGUAGAGAUCGGGAGGAAUACCAGUGGCGAAGGCGGCCUUCUGGACUGACACUGACGCUGAGGUGCGAAAGCGUGGGUAGCAAACAGGAUUAGAUACCCGGGUAGU
rnacentral:rRNA from 1 species